UUUGGUGAAGAAGAAGAAGGAUAGGGGGCUGCUGCACUUGGGCUGCAGCUAAAUUUGUUGCUGCCGCUGCCGCUGCCCCUAUUCCUAUUGUUGCAGCUGUUGUCAAGCUCAAAGCAGCAAAGAGAGAAGAGCAAGGUGUUGUCCCCAAGCAAAGAUUCGGUUGUUACUGGUGAGUUGCUGCUGUACACACAUUUGAAGAAGUGGAAUAUGGAUGCUAUUGUAUAUCAACAACGGAGAAGAACAGCAGCUGAUUGUAUGGCAGCUAUAGCUGCCAUACUUGUCAUAUUGGAUGAAUGUGACUAUGACGAGGAGGAAGAAGAAGCACCGCCUAGAAACAAAGUGUUGAUUUUGAUCAACUAUCCACCAUUGCUGAAGGCAUCAAGGAUUUGGCAGCUGCACUUUGAGAAUCACCCAAGCAACCCAACCCUUAUCAAAUGGAUUUGACUCCUAUCCUCCAUGCCAUACGAGAUAUCCCUGCUAUUUCUGAUGUCAUCGCUAGUAGGUCUUUUGAAUACUUGAGUGUAAAUCUAGUGCAAGCUAAUAUAUUUAUGUCAUAUGAUGUCUCACACAGGGCAAAAUUUCUUUGGAGGCAUUGGCAUUCACAAGACCCCAAUGCGUAGAAGGGCUGUUCAAAUUAUGGAUAUCGUAUUUUGUCUUUUUGUGAACUCUUUACGCAUAUAUUAGUUUAAAACUAUGUAGUUAGAGCUCUAACUCUAGCUUGAAGAACUUAUUUCUGUUUAAUUGUUUUAGAGCUCUGACUCUAGGUUGAAGAACUUAUUUCUAUUUAAUUGUUUUAGAAUGGAAUGUUUGAGUGGGAUGUAUAUUUUUUUUAAUGGUUUCCUACAGACUAAUGAUGUAAUAUUUUCAAACUUUUGGACAAAUUAUAGACAGACUUUAUGCUCUCCAUUUUGGAAGUUCUACCUAGAGAUUUGGAUUUUUGAUU